rnacentral:rRNA from 1 species
CUACGGGGGGCACCAGUGGGGAAUAUUGCACAAUGGGCGAAAGCCUGAUGCAGCAACGCCGCGUGAGCGAUGAAGGCCUUCGGGUCGUAAAGCUCUGUCCUCAAGGAAGAAACAUGACGGUACUUGAGGAGGAAGCCCCGGCUAACUACGUGCCAGCAGCCGCGGUAAUACGUAGGGGGCAAGCGUUAUCCGGAAUCACUGGGCGUAAAGGGUGCGUAGGCGGUUUUACAAGUCAGGUGUGAAAGGCUAUGGCUCAACCAUAGUAAGCACUUGAAACUGUAUAACUUGAGUGCAGGAGAGGAAAGUGGAAUUCCUAGUGUAGCGGUGAAAUGCGUAGAUAUUAGGAGGAACACCAGUGGCGAAGGCGACUUUCUGGACUGUAACUGACGCUGAGGCACGAAAGCGUGGGGAGCGAACAGGAUUAGAUACCCCAGUAGUC